ensembl:lncRNA
UGCUGAUCUAGGAUCAGUUUAGCCUUUUAUAUCAUAGUCACUAUUCUAUCCUACGUAUUCUAGAUAUACUAAAUAUUCUAUCCACAUACUGUCCUUAAUGUCUUUACAGCUAGAUAUUACUGAACUGCUGGGAGCUAGGAACACACGCAUUUACCUACACCUGCAAUAACAUCUACUAAAUAUGUGUAUGCGACCAAUAAAAUAUCAUUUGAUGUUGAAUCAGAUUAUUAUGGACAGGGAGGCCCUGAUCCUAGAUCAGCAGUCCUACUAAAGCUUUAUGAAUACAGGCCCAGGUCUGACUCAAAACAAGACAUUUGGUAUUCCUUCUGUGUUUAGUAUUAAAACUCAGCAGUGUGCUGUAGUGUUGAACGGGAUUCUCUGCACUUUGGUGCAGCGUCACUGAUCCAGUCAAAAUGUGACCGAAACGUGUCACGGAUCUCCUCACACAGCUUGGAACUGAGCCCUGGAACAAUGACCGCACAAACAGUCAGCAAACUCAUCAUCGCCAAUUAUGUUAUGCUGCCUAGAUGACUAGACGUUUCCUAUCAGCAUAAAGGACAUUUCUCUGAAGAGCGCGACUACACACCAUCAGGGCCAGUUUCCCAGACCCAGAUAAUAUGUUCAGUCCUGGACUACAAAGCUAUUUCAAUGGAGAUUCUCCAUUGACUGUGUUGUUUAGUCCAGGACUAGGCUUAAUCUGUGUCUGGGAAACUGGCCCUUAUUACUGGUCACUGACCUCUAUUCUUUCCAAAUUAUGCUAGAGCCCAUGUCUGCAUCUCAAAUUACAAAAUUUGCCCUAUAAAGUGCACUACUUUUGAGUAGAGUCCCAUAUCCCUAUGGGCACUGGUCAACAGUAGGGCACUACAUAGAGAACAGGGUGCCAUUUGGGACUGGUCCCAUGCUUACCCACCAGAUCCUGUGUCCCCCACUCAGGCUGUGAAGUAGCACCCCUCCAAUGUCGUAAUCUAUUCUCUCCACCUCCAUCGUCUGCUGGAGUAAACUAUUACUCUCCUCGCCCCAAUGUGGGUUUAAACAGCGUAUCAUAACAACUCAGACCAUUCUGUAAAAGGUAUCCAGGGCUCUACAAUGCGAGUAUUUCACUCGCAUUUGCCCUUAAAUUGAUUUGUGCGAACCGGAAAAAUGAUUUACGAGCACAGUGUGCGAGUAAAGAUUACAAUCUACCGUAAUCUAUUAUUUUUUUCCCACAAGCGCCAACCACAGUAGGGUUUUCAGUGCUGACGCAGUCCAGUCAGAGUGAGAGAAAGGUGAACAACACUGGGGGAAAAGUAUUGGUAUAGGCUGUAAAUGAACGUGCAGACAUCGCUAAAAAUGAAGCCCAUUCAAUUGUAUUUUAAGCGAAUAAGAGACGAGGAGAAAGAGUAAUCAGGCGAGGGGGAUUCGCAAGGUUCAACUAAUGAAGCCUCUUCACAAGAUUUACGUGAGGCGGUUAGCGAAGCUACGGUGACCCCGGCUGUCACUUCAACGUCCACUGUAGCCGGCGGAGGGAGAACAUAUAGAUUCAAUGCGAAUUGGCUCAAAAUGUUCCCAUGGCUAGAGUUAGAAAACAAUGUAAUGUUCUGCAAAUAUUGUAGAAGGCUGAAACAGGCGGGCAACUCGUCCUUCGUGUCAGGAAAAAGAGAGAUAGCGCAGCGAAACAUAACAUCUGGCUGCGGCAUAUCCAGUGCAGAGAUCUGAACAUGUUGAGACAGGAGACACCAUAAAGCACGGUGUCAGCAGCCUUGAGGAGACAAGUGUUUCUGUCUGAGGAGGAGACAAACAUAACAUACUAAAUUGCGAAAGAACCUUUAGUCAAAUUUGUUCGGACAACAGACUUCGGGACACUCAACGCCAUUGGUGUUUUGGAUGCCACCAAGGCCGCAUAUCGUGCUGUUUGCCCAGAGGAAGAUGGCGGGUCAUGGAUGAAGAAGUGCGUCUCCUUCGGGGCAGAUGGUGCCACCGUGGGGGAGUGAUUGACCACCUGCAGAGGGGCAGGGGGGCAUAUAAUCCCAAUCCACUCGUCAAGGAAACUCGCUGGAUCCCCCAUGUCCACAGAGCCCUCCAAGUGUUCCUGAGGCAUGGACAAGACAAGGACCUUACCGCCGACGAAGGCCAGUACUCCGUUGUUCUGCAACACAUCAACAACAGCGGAUGUUCAAGGGCAGGCAAAAGAAGAUCGGGGUGCAACAUGGCUGCAAUCCAGGAUGAGUGGCAGGGGCUGUCAGCCACAAUUUCAAGGACAAGUCUUAGUGGCAUGUGGGAGACCAUGUUGACAAAGGACCCCUACAGGCACGAUUACAAGAACAUACUGGAGUUGGUGCAGCUUAUGCUGGUGCUGCCCAUUUCAGCCGCCCAGUGUGAGUGAGGCUUCUCUGUGCAGAACCGGAUUAAGAUUGACAAGAAGUUGCCUUGGGGUCUCUAUCACCGAAGACCUGAUGAGGAUCAGCCUGGGGGUCUUCUGUCGAGGAGUUGGAUCCCACUCCUGCCGUGGACCGCUGGCUGACCUCUAAGCGUGCCAGACGGCCAACAUACAAAAGCAGCUGGACAACUGAUAUCCUUUGCGUCUAGUAGCCAUGAGUCAAUGUAUGAUUGGUGGUAUGUGUCCCUUAUGUGUCCCUUAGUACACACACGCAGUAAAAAUAUGUAUGUAAUAAAUUGUUUGUUAAUAAACUCUGUGUUACUUGAACAUU